rnacentral:lncRNA from 1 species
CUGAUGGUCAGGCCUCAGCUGUCCUUUGAGAGUGAGGAUCAGCUGUGAUGACUUCCUUGUAGCCUCUACUGAAGUACCCCUCGGCCAAAUGGUUAACACACCAAUGCUUUUAAAAUUGUACCCAAACCAGGAAAUGAAAUUCACAGGUGAACUGCAGUCAAACCUAAGUUGUUGCCACAAACCACUGAUGAAACUCAGUGCUUCAGCCAAAUCCCAGCAUUUGUCAGCCGUGCAGGUGCUGAGAGGGUGGAGACUGGGAGGGGCGACACCUAGUCCAUGGCAGCGGGAUGUCAGGGAGACUCGACAACUGCUCCCGCAGCUCUUUGCUCCAGGACAUAGCUCUGCCCACCCGGUGUCAACACCCUCCAGGCUUUCCAGCUGUCCUCUGAUUGCUGAGGUUCCUGUUAGGGACCGAGGUACUAAACCUGGGCGGGUGGAUUUGUCGGCCUCAUCCAUUGUGGCUCGAGACCGGCCUUCGGGAGUCGGCUCUCAGUCUAAACAUCCUUUCUCAUUCAUAGUGUGUCACCCGAAGAUGCUUGUUUGUGACAUUGUGACAGUCUGUCAUGACUGUCCCGGUGCCUUUGUGAUGACUUAAACUACACUGAGGAGCUUGCCAACUUGUGAAUGCCCUUCAGAGGGUCUGGCAGUCACAGCUGUUCCAGAGCCCGAGGGCAGAAGAUUCCGGAGCCCGGGAGUUUGAGGCCAACCUAGGCAACAUAAUGGGACCCUCUCAUUAUUAUUCC